UACGGGGGGGAGCAAGCGUUGUUCGGAUUUACUGGGCGUAAAGGGCGCGUAGGCGGUACUUCAAGUCAGGCGUGAAAGCCCCGGGCUCAACCUGGGAACCGCGCUUGAGACUGGAGAACUAGAGUUCGGGAGAGGAUGGUGGAAUUCCCAGUGUAGAGGUGAAAUUCGUAGAUAUUGGGAAGAACACCGAUGGCGAAGGCAGCCAUCUGGACCGACACUGACGCUGAGGCGCGAAAGCGUGGGGAGCAAACAGG
rnacentral:rRNA from 1 species